rnacentral:lncRNA from 1 species
GUUCACGUAGUUGGACAUCUUCACCUGCGGCUUUAGCCUGCGCUUUCUCCGGAAAGGAUCCCGCAAGCCUCAACUCAGGACUUCCGCACGCCGUCGACGCCUCCCUCACGACUGAGAGAAAGGCUCAACAGACGCCUUCCUUUCGGAACGUAAGACGAAGUGGGGCUUUUAGUCCCUGCUUUCGAACGGCGAAUUCCACAACCUCCACCUCCUACGUCCGGAUGCGCACUGAGGGACUACGUUAGCAGACGCGUCAAAAGUACCAGAAGCUGGCCCCCGGCGCAUGCGCAGAGAUGUUCCGUGGUGGGCGCGGCUCUUCUCUUGCCCAACCACCGCCCUGCCUCCUCCCUCCCCA